rnacentral:rRNA from 1 species
UAGGGAAUCUUCCGCAAUGGACGAAAGUCUGACGGAGCAACGUCGCGUGAGUGAAGAAGGAUUUCGGUUCGUAAAACUCUGUUGUUAGGGAAGAAAAAAUGUAUAGUAACUAUAUACAAAAGAGACGGUACCUAACCAGAAAGCCACGUCUAACUACGUGCCAGCAGCCGCGGUAAUACGUAGGUGGCAAGCGUUGUCCGGAAUUAUUGGGCGUAAAGCGCGCGCAGGUGGUUUAGAAAGUCUGAUGUGAAAGCCCACGGCUCAACCGUGGAGGGUCAAUGGAAACUAAUAAACUUGAGUGCAUAAAAGAAAAGUGAAAUUCCUAGUGUAGCGGUGAAAUGCGUAGAGAUUAGGAGGAACACCGGUGGCGAAAGCGGCUUUUUGGCCUGCAACUGACUCUGAGGCGCGAAAGCGUGGGGAGCAAACAGG